rnacentral:rRNA from 1 species
AGUGAACGCUGGCGGUAGGCCUAACACAUGCAAGUCGAACGGCAGCACAGUAAGAGCUUGCUCUUACGGGUGGCGAGUGGCGGACGGGUGAGGGAUACAUCGGAAUCUACUUUUUCGUGGGGGAUAACGUAGGGAAACUUACGCUAAUACCGCAUACGACCUACGGGUGAAAGCAGGGGAUCUUCGGACCUUGCGCGAUUGAAUGAGCCGAUGUCGGAUUAGCUAGUUGGCGGGGUAAAGGCCCACCAAGGCGACGAUCCGUAGCUGGUCUGAGAGGAUGAUCAGCCACACUGGAACUGAGACACGGUCCAGACUCCUACGGGAGGCAGCAGUGGGGAAUAUUGGACAAAGGGCGCAAGCCUGAUCCAGCCAUACCGCGUGGGUGAAGAAGGCCUUCGGGUUGUAAAGCCCUUUUGUUGGGAAAGAAAAGCAGCAGGUUAAUACCCCGCUGUUCUGACGGUACCCAAAGAAUAAGCACCGGCUAACUUCGUG